CUGUCCAAAUCAACAUUAAACGUAUAGUCAAUAGAACCAAAUCCGCCGAGGAACCAAAUCUGCAAACAUCAAGCCGCGUCAAACCCGGCGGAUAUGGUUCCGAUUAAAAACGAUAUCGGCCAUUUAGAACCAUAUCUGCCGGCGGAUACGGUAUCCGCCGGUGGAACCAAAUCCGCCGCUACACCGGCGGCGCGUUUCCGUUUUACACCCUGGCGAAGGCAAUCUCCGCAAAAAUAGCUACAAAGCGACUAGUGAAGAGUCUAAAGUUUGUUUACAUUAUCAGCUGGGCGCGCGAUGCAAAAGUCCGCAUCGAAGAUAUCUGCAGAACAUGUGCAAAUGCAGCUAAGCUUAUUACUAUUGUAAAGAUGGAAAGGGAUAACGAUGGUAGAUACCUUACAUUCGACUGUGAAUUAGAUGGAGUUAGAAUGAUAUUAGGAAAUGUUUAUUUCCAACUAGGAACAAGGCAAAUGAGCAAAUAGAAGAGUCCUGCAAAAGAUCAAUAUCAUUAUAAAUAAAAAUUCUCUCAGUCAUGUUAUUAUAUUAGGUGGUGAUUUUAAUAUGAUAUUAGAUGAUAAAUUAGAUGAUAAGGGGUCAACCAUACAGGUGAAAUCUAGAUUUAAUACAGAAUUUUUGGAGUUCAUGGACAAAUUUCAAUUAAUAGAUAUUUGGAGGAAAAUAUAUCCAGGAAAACAACAGUUUACUUUAAGACAGAAGACACUACCUAUUCAAAGUAGGCUAGAUUAUUGGAUAAUAUCAAAAGAAGUUGAAACAUUGGUGCUGGAAUAUGACAUUUUACCGUAACUCCAGACCAUUCUGGAAUCUUGCUUACCUGUAGUAGUGGAAAAAAAGAAGUGAAGCGAGGUCCUUCAUAUUGGAAAUUCAAUUAUUAUGAUAAAGAAUAUAUGUUCUGCUAUGAAAAAUGAGAUUCUUAGUUCAGUGGAAAAAGCAACACAGAAAUGUCUUUUCUAAUUACUCAUUGCUUUGGGGCUUUAUUAGAUUAAAGAUUAGAGAGUGUACUCGAAAAUAUUCUAAAGAAAAGGCACGAGAAAGAAAUAAGCUGAUUUUAGAGUCCAAAGUGAAAGACUUAUGGGGCGUUGCAAGAAAGUUAUGUUGCAAUUGAUUGCAAAUCGACUGCAACUUUGCAGCCGAUUCCGAUCGACUGCAACUAGCAAUCAAUCGCCAAUUUGCGUUGCAAGAAAAAGGCUUGCGAUUGAACGCAAGUUGCAGCUGACCUGCAGAUGCAGACGAUUUGCAGCUGUAAACAGGGUCUGCAGCACAAGACUAGCCGAAAAAGCAAAAUAAUGGCUUGCAACAAUCCUGUUUGUGGAAGAGAUUAUGACAAAGAAGUCUGGAACCUCAGAACCACCAUAACUGUGUCUGCUACAAUGUGUGUUCUUGCAACCAGCUGAUUGAUUCAUUUUAUCAACUCUUGAAUGGUUGAUUAUCAGAACUGAAUUCAGAGCUGCUCCUGUCUGUAGCAGGGGCCGCGGAACCGGGG